rnacentral:rRNA from 1 species
GACGAACGCUGGCGGCGUGCUUAACACAUGCAAGUCGAACGGAAAGGCCCUGCUUGCAGGGUGCUCGAGUGGCGAACGGGUGAGUAACACGUGGGUGAUCUGCCCCUUACUUUGGGAUAAGCCUGGGAAACUGGGUCUAAUACUGGAUAGGACCAUGCUGUAGGUGGUGUGGUGGAAAGAUUAGUUUCGGUAAGGGAUGAGCUCGCGGCCUAUCAGCUUGUUGGUGGGGUAAUGGCCUACCAAGGCGUCGACGGGUAGCCGGCCUGAGAGGGUGGACGGCCACAUUGGGACUGAGAUACGGCCCAGACUCCUACGGGAGGCAGCAGUGGGGAAUAUUGCACAAUGGGCGCAAGCCUGAUGCAGCGACGCCGCGUGGGGGAGGACGGCCUUCGGGUUGUAAACUCCUUUCAGCCAUGACGAAGCCUUCGGGUGACGGUAGUGGUAGAAGAAGCACCGGCUAACUACGU